AGUGCACGCUCGGGCUUCCUGGUGCGCCCGGAGCCUGCCUCGCGUGCCGACCCCGCCGCGUAAUCCGGCGAGGCAUCCCAGAUUCCGCCCGGCUCCAGACGCCCUCCACCGACUUUAGUUCGAGCAGACUCAUUUGGAAGCAGUGCAUUUUUAUCAGAGGGACUGAAAAGCCUUUCGAGAAUCAGUCAAGAAAAAGGAAUGCGCAUGAGAGUCAUGCACAAGGAAAUCCAACACUGAGGGGUCACAGCAGAGGGACGGAAAGCACCUGGAUCUUACAACAUUGUUGAGCUCUUUUGUCUCUUGACUUCUAGUUAUGAGAUGUAAUUUUCUUACUGUUAAAGUCAUUUCUGUUCCUUGCAACCAAAAGCAUUCAUUGAUACACUGAAUAUAGUACAAUAUUUAUUCAAUCAAUAAAUGCCUGGCAAAUUACCCAAGUA
rnacentral:lncRNA from 1 species